rnacentral:rRNA from 1 species
UUUAAAGAGAGUUUGAUCCUGGCUCAGGACGAACGCUGGCGGCGUGCCUAAUACAUGCAAGUCGAACGAACGGAGGAAGAGCUUGCUCUUCCAAAGUUAGUGGCGGACGGGUGAGUAACACGUGGGCAACCUGCCUGUAAGUUGGGGAUAACUCCGGGAAACCGGGGCUAAUACCGAAUGAUAAAGUGUGGCGCAUGCCACGCUUUUGAAAGAUGGUUUCGGCUAUCGCUUACAGAUGGGCCCGCGGUGCAUUAGCUAGUUGGUAGGGUAAUGGCCUACCAAGGCAACGAUGCAUAGCCGACCUGAGAGGGUGAUCGGCCACACUGGGACUGAGACACGGCCCAGACUCCUACGGGAGGCAGCAGUAGGGAAUCUUCCGCAAUGGACGAAAGUCUGACGGAGCAACGCCGCGUGUAUGAAGAAGGUUUUCGGAUCGUAAAGUACUGUUGUUAGAGAAGAACAAGGAUAAGAGUAACUGCUUGUCCCUUGACGGUAUCUAACCAGAAAGCCACGGCUAACUACGUGCCAGCAGCCGCGGUAAUACGUAGGUGGCAAGCGUUGUCCGGAUUUAUUGGGCGUAAAGCGCGCGCAGGCGGUCUUUUAAGUCUGAUGUGAAAGCCCCCGGCUUAACCGGGGAGGGUCAUUGGAAACUGGAAGACUGGAGUGCAGAAGAGGAGAGUGGAAUUCCACGUGUAGCGGUGAAAUGCGUAGAUAUGUGGAGGAACACCAGUGGCGAAGGCGACUCUCUGGUCUGUAACUGACGCUGAGGCGCGAAAGCGUGG